UGACGGCGUGCCUAACACAUGCAAGUCGCACGAGAAAGUCCUUCGGGAUGAGUAGAGUGGCGCACGGGUGAGUAACACGUAGGUGACCUCCCAAUUUGAGUGGGAUAACCCGGAGAAAUCCGGGCUAAUACCGCAUAAGAAUGACAAAGGUGUAACUAGUCAUUGAAAGGAAUGCCUCUACUUGUAAGCAUUCGCAAAUUGAUGGGCCUGCGGGACAUUAGCUAGUUGGUGGGGUAAUGGCCUACCAAGGCAACGAUGUCUAGCGGAUCUGAGAGGAUGAUCCGCCACACUGGAACUGAGACACGGUCCAGACUCCUACGGGAGGCAGCAGUGGGGAAUCUUGCGCAAUGGGGGCAACCCUGACGCAGCAACGCCGUGUGAGUGAGGAAGGCCUUCGGGUUGUAAAGCUCUGUCAGAUGGGAAAAAUGGCAUUAUGUCGAAUAGAUGUAUUGUUUGAUGGUACCAUCAGAGGAAGCACCGGCAAACUUCGUGCCAGCAGCCGCGGUAAUACGAAGGGUGCAAGCGUUGUUCGGAUUUAUUGGGCGUAAAGCGCGCGCAGGCGGAUUUGCAAGUCAGAUGUGAAAUCUCGGGGCUCAACCCCGAAACUGCGUCUGAAACUACAAGUCUAGAAUCUCGGAGAGGGAAGUGGAAUUUCGCAUGUAGGGGUAAAAUCCGUAGAGAUGCGAAGGAACACCGGAGGCGAAGGCGGCUUCCUGGCCGAGUAUUGACGCUGAGGCGCGAAAGCGUGGGGAGCAAACAGGAUUAGAUACCCUGGUAGUCCACGCCGUAAACGAUGUGCACUAGGUUUGGAGGGCUUGACCCUUGCCGAACCGCAGCUCACGCAUUAAGUGCACCGCCUGGGGAGUACGGUCGCAAGACUAAAACUCAAAGGAAUGAC
rnacentral:rRNA from 1 species